UUAUCUUUCUACUGCUGCAGAUUACCAGUAAUGAUGAAAUAUUACGUAUGUUAGUGUUGUGAAGCUCCCGGCCAAGUGGCUUCGUGUCACCGUGGAGUUCACAGAGUUCCCCCCGUAGGCCAUUUGGAUUUGGCACCAACGUAUUUAAUCAGAUGUACAUUUCGUGAGACCUCCGAUUGGAUGAAUCGUCCUUCUCUAUUCAAUCCCUGGACGUAAAGGCGUCCACAAGUCCUCUGCACAUCAGUGGAUUGAGCGACGCAGGCUGUUGGAGGGUCUCCUGAGGUCUUCCCCAGGAGGGGAAGUGGUCUCGGUCCGGAGGUUCCUUCCUCUCGUCUUUGGAGGAGACGAGGUAGACGAGCAGCAGGACCACCAGAGCCGCCAACAGGGAGGCGGAGCCAGAGGUCUGGAGGAACCCGUCGAACAUCUCCAUGACUCUUCAAGAAGAGGACACCUGUGUUCUUCUAGAGCCUCCUGCUCUGCGACUGGUUGGCAAAGACUUCUGAGAAUAGGCUUCAUCCAAAGGGGGGAGGGACGAACCGCCAACACCGCCCACAAACUGUCGCCGGGCCCCUUCAGGUCCUCACACAGCUCUCAGAGUAGAUUUACAGCAGGACCGUGUGCGUCAGGUGACUCAUUGCAUAACGCGUGCGUGUCAGGUUGAAUCACGCACACGCUAACAGGCCCAU
ensembl:lncRNA